ACUUUAUUAGCUUAACAAAAGCCUGUGCCUCUUAAUCACAGAGAUAGUUUUCUAAACUAUAAAGUU
rnacentral:tRNA from 1 species